GACGAACGCUGGCGGCGUGCUUAACACAUGCAAGUCGAACGGAAAGGCCCUGCUUUUGUGGGGUGCUCGAGUGGCGAACGGGUGAGUAACACGUGAGUAACCUGCCCUUGACUUUGGGAUAACUUCAGGAAACUGGGGCUAAUACCGGAUCGGAGCUCCUGCUUCAUGGUGGGGGGUGGAAAGUUUCGGCGGUUGGGGAUGGACUCGCGGCUUAUCAGCUUGUUGGUGGGGUAGUGGCUUACCAAGGCUUUGACGGGUAGCCGGCCUGAGAGGGUGACCGGCCACAUUGGGACUGAGAUACGGCCCAGACUCCUACGGGAGGCAGCAGUGGGGAAUAUUGCACAAUGGGCGGAAGCCUGAUGCAGCAACGCCGCGUGCGGGAUGACGGCCUUCGGGUUGUAAACCGCUUUCGCCUGUGACGAAGCGUGAGUGACGGUAAUGGGUAAAGAAGCACCGGCUAACUACGUG
rnacentral:rRNA from 1 species